GCGCAGUGCCGGGCCAGCGAAUGUAGCGAGCGGGGCCUGCAGGUGAACGCGGCGCCCAUGGAGGCUGCGCAGCCCUGCCAGGCUGCCGUCGCCCUGAGCGAGGAAUGCCAACAAAUCGUGCCUCACACGGAAGUUGUGGACUUGAAAGCGCAGCUUCAGAUGAUGGAAAAUUUGAUCAGCUCGAGUCAGGAAACCAUCAAAGUGUUGUUGGGUGUCAUACAGGAGCUAGAGAAAGGAGAAGCUCACAGAGAAGGGCUUUCAUAUCGGACCGGUCAAGACACGGCCAACUGCGACACGUGCAGGAACAGCGCAUGCAUCAUCUACAGGUGGGUCACAAACCUCCCAUCCCACUUCGUACUGAAUGAGAGGUAAUGAUUUACUCAGUGCAAUAUCAAAUGUCAGCCUUGAUUCAGCUGUUGGGAUUCUAUUUGGUUUUGGUUUUUUUUGCUUGUUUGUUUGUUUUUGUAUUGUCUACAUGGAAACAGCUCAAGAAACAGACAAUAAAUUCACCUUCACUUAGGUAUUCAAAUUCAACAGAUAGCUGUCUAAAAUUUUCGGAUCAGGGCUGCAGAUUAUUAUGGUCAGUAGCACUGCUGCAGAUCUUGGGUGUGAAGUACUGCAAGUCACAAGCCUCAUUUUCACGUAGCUACAAAUCCUUAGAAUUUUCUGUUCAACAACUCAACAUGAAUUGACGUUUACAGCAGUAAGCACUGGACUGGGGAAGCAAUUCCAAGAGAUUUUAUAGCAAACGUAACCACACACAGAUUCAAUCCAGGCAGUUUAACCAGUGAAUUGACAUUACUACCCAGGCUUUUACAUGCUUCCACAUUUAUAGUGCAGGAAUUUUAUCCCAUUGGCCACUACCCAACAUGAACAGCAGCUCUAAGUUCUUUACAUCAGACAUCCUCAGUCUUAAUGCACCACACAUAGACUUGCUGCAUGUAAACAGACUCAUUCUGAAGAUGUAUGAUCUGUUACAUGAACACAGGUCUGUUUGCUAGUCAAACCAAUAAGCAAUUACAAACGGCUCAAAGCUGAAAGGUUUUAUAAAGAUUGUUUAUACCUGCUAGAAUUUCCUGUCUGUAGCUGCUAGAAUUUCUUCUGCAGAAGGAAAUGCUUGGAGUUCACUCACUAGAAACAGAUGAGGUGCCAAAGGUAAAAGGACACGUUUCAGUUAGCUGUAAAGCAGAGGUUCCCCUCCUCAAGUUUAUCAGCCAAGAGGCUUCUUUUGCCAUGGAUUAUGUAAGGAAGGAAUAGCAGAUAACCAGUGGGCAUGACAUGAAGCCAUCAGGACUCUGAUGAUGUGUUUCAUACUGACAGCUUAAUUGCCCUCCUCUUUUACAGAAAAGCUUAAAGAAAAGCAACUGCAUAUUUACAUGUGUUGCAGGUAAGACGAAAACAAAUGUAACUCAGAUUGUCAUUUCAGCAGGGAUUUCUUCUCUUUGUUACACAAAGGGAUAAAACAUUCUGAAAAUGUAUUUCUUUUUGAAAUACAUCAGGAAAGUAUUUAAGAAAAUUAGGCAGUAUAGUACAAAAGAAAAUACAUAAAGAUGGCUACUAGCUAUAGAUAUAAACUAAAAUGAAUGUACUGUUGCUGGCCAGGUUUGAAAAACCAUCAUGUUUCUACACUAGAUCCCUGAUUUAGGUAGAUCUGCACCUAUUCGUACAUCAGCUCCUAGCUUCCUAGCAGCGAAGGUAAAAAGGAUGGAGAACUUCAACUCCACCUUUUCUCCUUGCUGACUAACUUGGAAAGAGAUAGAUGCUGUUCUGUGCAGGGGAAGGAACCAAUUGAUUUAUUUCUCCUUUAGAGCAGUAUUUAAAAGCAUGUCAAUACUAAAGGCCAACCCUGCCUCUCUGCUUGCUCAUCCCCAGCAAUUUCUUUCUCAAGACAGACUGGGAAAUUGCAACAGAGCACGCUGCCAUCAGAGGUGCUCUUUUUGUCUCGUUAACUAAAACCCAAAUCCAAUUUGAAUUAUUAAUUUAAGGUCUUGAUUUUGAGUCAGCACAAUUUAAAUUAAGCAACUUCCCAGUUUUUACCUCUUACAUUCACUGCAAACAAUGCAGACUGGAAGUGUUUCCUUGCAUACACAUAGCAGCAUUUCCCACCAGGACAGCCACUUGGACUGCAGCUAUCCAUGCUGGGCAUUUGCCUACAGCAGUGUUUCCAGGGGAAGUUUUAGCAAAACUCAGCUCAGCUCUUUGUCAGAGGAGCAGAAUACACGCUGCAGGCAAAAAGUCUAAAUGCAGAAGACGGUGCAAAACAGGGAAACUAUGAGAAGCCUGAAUUACUCUGACAAGAUAAGUAGUCAGAAGGGAUAGAAGAGAAAUUCUCUGAUAAAACUACUGCUAAGACAGAUUGCCUUGUACAAUCCUCUUCUCCUCCACAAGUCAUAGUGCAGUGCUGGAACCUCUGAGACAAAUGAAGGCUUUCACAGAAUCACAGAACCAUAGGGGUUAGGAGGGAGCUCUGAAGAUCCCCCAGUCCAACCCCUGCUAAUGCAGCUUCCUCACAGCAGGUCACACAGGUAGGCAUCCGGGUGGGUAUGGAAUACCUCCACAGAAGGAGACUCCACCACCUCUCUGGGCAGCCUGUUCCAGUGCUUGGUUUGUACCUGUUGCCCUUUGUCCAGUUGCUGGGGACCACCAGUAGGAACCUGGCUCCACCUACUAGUCUCCCACUCAUUAGGUAUUAACAAGCAGUCAUUAUAUUAGUUAUUUAAAAAUAAUAAUUUGGAACAGUAAAGAACAAGCAAACGUUGUCCAGUGUUAAUCCAAUUAGUAUCAACAUCUCCUAACCAGAGAUCACAGAUCAGUUUCAGAGUCAUCCAUCCUUUACAAACUAAAGAGCAAAAUUAAUAAAAAGACAAAAAAAGUCUUUCACAAACUAAGAUUCAGCACUAAUAUUUUUAAAAACAGAGGAGUCUUAUUAGGGUAUCUUGUCAGCACAAAACCAACUGAAAUAGGAGCACAGCCUGAGCAACAAGCUGUUUCUCAGCAUUUAAUUUUGUCUUUGACAUUGCAUGGCAAGCUCCAGCUAUUCAGCUGAAAGCAUUAUGAGAGCACUCCCAGCACACCAUUACAGGUUAAAAUCAUGGCUACGUACAUGAAGGAGGCAGCACAGCAACCCAUGGAAACCAUUCUCAUGAAGAUGUUAGAUACACUGAUAAUUAGGAAAAUAUAUGAAGAUGGCAUGCAAAGACAAGUAGCCAUAAAUUCCUAAGAUAUUAUCAGUAGAGCAAAAUCAGGUAACCAAAUGCCCAGAACAGUAAUUUUCACCAUCUUUUUUAUUUCCUACCCACAUUAACAAAUUUGUGCUGUUUCUCACAGAAUUCUUAUCUCUAGACUGUAAGAUACUUAGUUCAAAAAUGGAUCUUAAUGGCUUACCAGCACUGACAAUGCUUUGGAUCCUGGGCAUUUGUAAUAUUCAGGUUAAAAUAGGAAAUUUUAAAGAGAUUGUUUAGAAGUGUAUUAAGCUAAUUUUCAAGUUAUUAGUGCCUAUCUGGAUCCUGUUCUUCCAAGAUGCAGCAUGCACUAAUUCCAUGUCAUCCUAUUAAUGCAGCUAGAAGGAGACACAAUGAUGCUCCUUAAUUCCUGUUUCACCUAGCCUACUUCAAUGCAAAGAGUUAAGCUGCUCUAUAAAUGCUUGUAGGAUCUGGGCCAUAACACUGCAAACUAGGUAGUAACAAGGUAAACAGAGGCAAUACCAACUGAAAUGAGGAAGGUUUAGGUUGAACAGAGAUAUAAGGUUUACCCCUUGAAGGGGAAAGCAGAGGGACCGACCGCCCAGAGCCUGGGCAAACUCCAUCCUUGGUGCUUUCAAGAGGUGGCUGGAUAAAAGCCCCAAGCAACACAGCCCUGAAUCUGGGUUAUUCUGAUUCCGCAGUCUUACAAGUAAGCAACACAUCAGAUUGUUAGUAUCUAGUAUCUUAAAAUGAUGCAUAUUAAUAACGUGUGACUACGUUAAAAAAGAAAGCCCAUCCAAAUUCCUGAGCUUGUUGCUAGAUAUCCUCCCACGUCCCAUAUGUUUAAAACCAAGUGGUUAUGACUCCUCAAACUGUUUUUAAUCCCAUAUACAGCAACAGAAUUAGAAAAAGCUCACUCUACUGCCAGCGUGCAAAAAAUAAACACGUUCAUUAACAUAUAUUCUCAAAUCAUUAAAAAAAUAAAUAAAUCACAAAGUCAAAAACAGAAAAUCCAGCACACCAAUCCCUAAUGCACAGUGCUAAGACUCAGAAAAUGGGAUUAACCAUAAAAGAAAAGUCUGAGGGAGCUGGCCAUGCUGUGUGCAUGCCUUAAGUGAGACGGGACACCCAAACUACCCACCUGGCUACAGCUGGGAAGGGCUCUGUAUUGCAUCCUUUAUCCUGCAGUGGGCCCCAGGUAGGGACACCUCUGGAAGGCACUGCAUGUAACCCACGUGCACCAUACGUGGCUGAGCAGCUGUUCAGGAUACCUGGUGUUCUAACCCUGCACAGAAGAGCACUCUGAGUUUAUCCUGGAGAACUCGGCAUUACAGGAUGGAGUCCCCACUGCUUUCAGAACGCACAGCUUCCAUUUCACAAACCGAAAGCAGAGGCUGGGGGACACUGAGCCCAAAGCAAAAACAAACACAGAAACCCCGCAGAGGUUCCUGCUGACUACAAUUCUGAAAUUAACAUCACGGAAUGAAAAUAAUUUUCAAGGCAACGCCGCCUCACUCGCUGCAAACCAAACUUGCACAGCAAGGGAACGAUGCUUCCUACGGACAGAGCAGACCUGACUCACGUUUCUGCUGGGCUUCACUGCAUGCACACGCUGUGCAGUAAAUAACAUCAGGGCCCAGGAAACGGGAAAGAAGAGAAAUAAAAAAAAGACUGUGAUCACACAUUGGGUUCUCUCUGCACCAGCAUCAGUCCUGAGCAGAACAGAGGACUGGAGAAGCAGACAUGGGGUCCUGCGCUCGCGGGUUCAGUCAGGCACACACUGACAGCAUCCAUAGCUGCAACUGCAGCAAUGCUUUUGAUCAGUCCUGGACCAGAACUGGCUCACUGUGACAGGAUUUCAGGGAUUUUAAUUACAAAGUUCUCACCUGUGUUUAAUGACACAAUUCUCAGAGGUCUGCUGUUUGAUUUCCUUUGGCCAAAUUUUCAUGGGACUGACAUAUAUGCAAACACUGAUUCACGUGCAAAUGCCAAGAUUCUGUUACAAACCCUGUGAAGAUAUGGUGGCUCACAGGA